ACCACGUGCACCGCGAUGUACUGCGAGGA
rnacentral:piRNA from 1 species